UACGGAGGGGGCUAGCGUUGUUCGGAAUUACUGGGCGUAAAGCGUGCGCAGGCGGUUAUAUAAGACAGAGGUGAAAUCCCCGGGCUCAACCUGGGAACUGCCUUUGUGACUGUAUAGCUUGAGUGCGGCAGAGGGGGAUGGAAUUCCGCGUGUAGCAGUGAAAUGCGUAGAUAUGCGGAGGAACACCGAUGGCGAAGGCAAUCCCCUGGGCCUGCACUGACGCUCAUGCACGAAAGCGUGGGGAGCAAACAGG
rnacentral:rRNA from 1 species